ensembl:snRNA Gm25440 predicted gene, 25440
AUACUUGCCUGACAGGGGACAUACUGUAAUCAAGAAGGUAGUUUUCCCAGGAUGAGGCUGCCACUCUCACCUUCUGAAAAAGGGGGAGAGAGAAAAGAAAAUUGUGUAGUCUGUUUUCUACUCUACAAGCGAUAAAUACUGCUGUACACAUUAC